UUGCUCCCAGGCGUCGAGCGGCGGACGGGUGAGUAACACGUGGGAAUCUGCCCAUUAGUGGGGGAUAACUCGGGGAAACUCGAGCUAAUACCGCAUAAUCCCUACGGGGGAAAGCAGGGGAUCUUCGGACCUUGCGCUGAUGGAUGAGCCCGCGUCGGAUUAGCUUGUUGGUGGGGUAAUGGCCCACCAAGGCGACGAUCCGUAACUGGUCUGAGAGGAUGGCCAGUCACACCGGGACUGAGACACGGCCCGGACUCCUACGGGAGGCAGCAGUGGGGAAUCUUGGACAAUGGGCGCAAGCCUGAUCCAGCCAUGCCGCGUGUGUGAAGAAGGCCUUCGGGUUGUAAAGCACUUUCAGUAGGGAGGAAAGCUUUGGGCUAAUACCCUGGAGUACUUGACGUUACCUACAGAAGAAGCACCGGCUAAUUUCGUGCCAGCAGCCGCGGUAAUACGAAAGGUGCAAGCGUUAUCCGGAAUCAUUGGGUUUAAAGGGUCCGUAGGCGGGCUAUUAAGUCAGGGGUGAAAGUUUGCCGCUCAACGGUAAAAUUGCCUUUGAUACUGAUAGUCUUGAAUAUGUGUGAAGUGAUUAGAAUAUGUAGUGUAGCGGUGAAAUGCAUAGAUAUUACAUAGAAUACCGAUUGCGAAGGCAGGUCACUAACACAUUAUUGACGCUGAUGGACGAAAGCGUGGGUAGCGAACAGGAUUAGAUACCCUGGUAGUCCACGCCGUAAACGAUGGAUACUAGCUGUUGGGAUUUCGGUCUCAGUGGCUAAGCGAAAGUGAUAAGUAUCCCACCUGGGGAGUACGUUCGCAAGAAUGAAACUCAAAGGAAUUGACGGGGGCCCGCACAAGCGGUGGAGCAUGUGGUUUAAUUCGAUGAUACGCGAGGAACCUUACCAAGGCUUAAAUGUAGUGUGACAGGACUGGAAACAGCUUUUUCUUCGGACACAUUACAAGGUGCUGCAUGGUUGUCGUCAGCUCGUGCCGUGAGGUGUCAGGUUAAGUCCUAUAACGAGCGCAACCCCUGUGGUUAGUUACCAGCGAGUCAUGUCGGGGACUCUAGCCAGACUGCCGGUGCAAACCGUGAGGAAGGUGGGGAUGACGUCAAAUCAUCACGGCCCUUACGUCUUGGGCUACACACGUGCUACAAUGGUCGGUACAGAGAGCAGCCACUUAGUGAUAAGGAGCGAAUCUAUAAAACCGAUCACAGUUCGGAUCGGAGUCUGCAACUCGACUCCGUGAAGCUGGAAUCGCUAGUAAUCGGAUAUCAGCCAUGAUCCGGUGAAUACGUUCCCGGGCCUUGUACACACCGCCCGUCAAGCCAUGGAAGCUGGGGGUACCUGAA
rnacentral:rRNA from 1 species